CAUAAUAAUUUAUUACGAAGGAAGAUUCAAAAUGUUACAACAAAAUGAAAAAAAAAAACAUUAUUAUAAGUACUACACGGAAGGUAGAAAUGACUGAUAAAACAAAUUAAUGCAAUUGAGUUUGUGUAACGGUUGGUUUGGAGGGAGUUAAAGAGCGUGGCUAGUUUAUAUCCAGGUGGUGGAGCAGUGGUUAGGUUCCUGGCAGCGUUUCAUAUGCUCAUUUGCCCUCAAAUUGUGGGGGAGAGCAAGAACCGAAGCAGGAUCAGGAGUUUAGAAUGACAGCUGGACCAUUCUUCACCCAGACAUCACGCCCGCUACAUCUCUUGAAUCACCACGCUACUAUCGACCCCUCGAAUCUUCGCAGCCCAAUGUCCGUCUGUGUCUUGUUGUCGGGUGUGACGUGCAGCAGCGGGAGGAACAGCAACGGGAAGCUUGACGUACGUGAUGGAGGUUUUUCGUGCGGUGGAGUGACGUGCCGCUGCUGUGAGGAGGCUAGCGGCGUACGUGAUUGAGGUUUUUCGUGCGGUGGAGUGACGUGCCGCUGCUGUGAGGAGGCUAGCGGACCACAGCACCCGCAGCACAGCACCCCGCAGCACAGCACAGCGGAGGGAUUGGUGGAGUUGACGAUCCAAAGGCCUGACUCGCCAGCGAUAGUGGGUCUCCUCUACUAUCACGACGCCUUCACUGAAAACGCCAACUACCAACACCUCUACCUCGCCACCGCUGCAACAUCAGGGAAUGGCUCUGCCAUGCAUCGCGUCCACACACACUGCGUACUCUUAACGCCGUCGCUGAGUGGGUGAUAGCGAGGCAGGUGUGGUGAGGCGGAUUGGCGACGAGAUCCAGCAGAUGACGGCAGGGAAAAUUCCACUAACCAGGAGUUGGUGAUCCAAAGGCCUGACUACAGCGAACCCCCGACUCCUGCACCAUCAGGGAGGGACUUUGCUUCCCACGGCCUUCACCCUUCACAGACCCUUCCACCAUCACAAUCACCGCUACCGUCGCCGUUACUGCCGCUGAGGAACUCUGCCUCGCAGCGCACCCCAGCGGCCCGGCAAACGCACCACCACCACCACCAAGGAUUCUGCAUGGCACCUUGACCCUGCGCGGCUAUCACCUACUGGUACUCCUGGUGGUGUUGGUGGCCAGGGAGGGAAGAGUUGCGAGUUAGCGUGGUAGUAAAGUCUUCCCUCGCUCAUUUUUUUUAUACCAUGUGGGCUUUUCACGGGAAUUUACGGGCUGAAGGGGGUACUUUUUGGGGGUAUCUCCUAUCUCAAAACCCACCCGCUAGGAAACCAUUGUCCCGAGUGAGAAGCCCAACCUACACUCGGACCGUGGACAGGAUUCGAACCCGUGCGCUUGGAGACCCCUCGGACCCCAAAGCACGCAUGGCUCCACUGUACCACGGGUGGUGUAUGUAGUUAGACAGAUGUGGUGUUGUGGUGCCAUUACUCCAUUGUAAUAAACUGUCUUCACGGCCUCUUUGUGUCGUCACUGUACUAAGCUGUUGUCACUACUGAAUAAUAAAUUGUGAAGAAAUCU